AUGGCCUGGUGGUGGAUAGGGAGGAGUGGAUAGUGGAAGAGAGAUGUGGAGAGUAGGAUGGUGGAAGGGGGAGGUGGAGGUGGCUAUGGCGGACGUGACUGGGUUGAGGUGGUGGUUGUGGUGGUGUUUGGUAUGGUUGGAAUGGUUGUAGAGGGUGUUGGUAGUGGUGGUGAACGUGACUGGCUUAUGUUAAAGGUGGUUGUGGUUGUUGGGGAUGGUGGUGGUUGUGUGACAGUGGUGGGUGCAGCGGACGCAACGAUGUUGUGGUUGUUGGGUGUGGUUGAGGAUUGCGAUGGUGGUGGUGGUGGAGGUGGUAGGUGGCGGUGGUCGUAGUCGGAGCGGGCUAAUUGGUGUUGGUGGUGGUGUAAAAAGGUGUUUAUCGGACGGAGUGGAAGUGGUGGUGGUGGCGGUGAUACGAUUAUCAGGGAUGAGAGAGAGAGAGAGAGAGAGAGAGAGAGAGAGAGAGAGAGUGUGUGUGUGUGUGUGUGUGUGUGUGUGUACUCCUAUAAUCAGCAAAUUGCAGUCACUCGUUCGCUUGUUUCACCUCCCUGUUUCAGGCCUUCUCUCCCCUUCCCUUCCUCCUCGCUCCCUUCCUAGCCUGCCCGCCACCCUCUCCCCGCUUUUCCCUGCCUGUCCUCCCCUGCUCCUCGUGUCCCAGGUGACCCAUGAACUACCUCUAACAAUGGUGAUGAAGAACCAGAAGUGGGUUGUAGGUGACGAGAUAACUAUCCCAGGUCAUCCCGGAAGUGGCGAGGUGACCCCAUACAGCUCCACAAGGUCGUGGAGGACGCCAGAUAUAGCCACGUGGUCGCCUACACUCAGCCAUCCACCUCACCUGCCCCAGACUGCUACCCGGACACCAUCCAGCCACAAGAACCCAGAUAAGCACUUCCGGGGUCCUUGGUUGUGGUUAGCUAGCUAGUUUGUUUAGGGGUCACUUGCUGUACAUAGGAACCCUCCUCGGUCUGCUGCUAUUUUUUUUAUUUUUAUUUUUGAGGUGUAACGCUGUCCUCUACGUGAGAGUGAUAGUGUUUAUCUUUAUUUAUUUAUUUUUUUUUUCCUGAAGACCAGUUCUGAGGUUAUCUUGGAGGUUAACGGAGAAGAGUUCUUCACACCUGUGUUUGUUGUUUUAUUUUAUUUUUUUAUUGGUCACUUUUUGUUUUUUGUUGUGAUUGUUAUUAAUUUUAUUUAUUUGUAUUGAAAUAUGUGAGUGUGAAUGCAGCACAAUAUAUAAAGGUGUGCAUUCCAGAGUGAAAGGAAGGCGUGCACAGGGUAGAGUGCACAGGAUGCAGUGCCUUGUUUUUAUCACCAGACCUUGAUUGAUUGAAGCAAAUGGAAACUUUGGUAUAAAUUGUUAUCUUUCCAAGGGUUGAGAAGAACAUGGUCGUGGUUCAAGAGAAGCCACUACAGCCACUCCCUGACAAGCCUUCCACACCGACAGUGGCAGCAGACACACAAGAGAGGAUGGUGUGGUGGACAAGAGGAUGCAGGGAGACAGCAGACAGAAUGGAAGCUACAGAUGAAAGAAGAGCAGGUCAAGCCAUGGCAGCAGACACAUAGACAGACAGAUUGGAUAAGAAAGAAGUAUUAUUUAGUGAGAUAUGUACACACACUAGCAACAGUUUUCACCUGUAGCACCAGAAACAGUCUUCCUCACACGAACCGUUUCACUGCCGGGACUUGAAGGCUGAUGAAGCAGUGCGGCGGAGGUCACGCCUCUCAGAGUGUUUAUACUUGUUGUCAACACCGCCAUAACUAAUACAAACUCUUUAGUGCAGGUAGUUAAAUAACUGCAAUCAUUGUUCCAGAUUCCUAAAUUCACAAAGUGCAUAACUCAUUCCAAGUUUUUAUUGCAGAUAAUUAAAGUUUUAGUGAAAUAAUUAUUCCUAUUCCUAAUGUUGUGUGGUGCAUUAUCUCAGACAGGCCCACUGGAAGCUGUCAGAGUGCUGUGGCACGUGGCAAGAACCAAGUGUUCAGGAGCACACACUGUCCCUUCACCAGUCAGCAGAUCUGGGCGGCUUGGAAGCCUCACUACAAACUGAAGACCCGUUCACUUGAAGGACACAGUUGGAGUCGGACACAAGAUCCAAGAGGGAGUUAUUUUUAAACGAGAGCUUCAGGCAAAAAAUUCGAGUGGAUUUUCAACUCUAAAAAUAACUUUUUUUGGGGGGAUAUUUUGAAGCUUCUUUAUCUUGAAAAAUAACUCCAGAUAUUAUGACUCUAGCUGGAAGUUGACCUGAGCAAUGUAGGGUUUGCUGCAGUGAGAUUACCAAGGCACGAGUGUCUGGGAUUUAAAGAUGAUGGAUAUGUGUCCUGUGUGCUGCUGUGCUGGGAGGAGAGGAGCAGCAGCAGUCGUGGGGCUCUGCUCCCGCUGUCACUGGUGCAACUGUUCACUCCUGCAGCUACCUUCCCUCAACAUACUGUGUCUUCCCACACAUGCAAUGAACAACUAUGAACAAUACUUCUCCUGCGAUGAGGAACAGUGAAUAACAACACCUCUCUCUCUCUCUCUCUCUCUCUCUCUCUCUCUCUCUCUCUCUCUCUCUCUCUCUCUCUCUCUCUCUCUCUCUCUCUC